UUUCAGUUGCAUCUUUUCAACAAAGUUGACUCUCUCCCUACAAAGGAAAGUUUGUAUCAGCUACUGAGAAGACUUGGACUGGAACUUACUUCACCAGAUCUCAUGGUUCUUGGGCCUUCAGACUCAGGUUGGAACUAUGCUAUCAGCUUUCCUGGAUCUCCAGCUUGCUGACUACACAAUCUAGGACUUCUCAGCCUUUGUAAUUGUGAGGAACAAAUUGUUCUACAGAAAAUGAAGGAAACUCCAAAUGUUCAAGAGACUGGGGAUGAUAUAUGAAAGCUUUCACCAUUAGGAUAAAAAAGAGCAAGAAUAGCUCACAUACCAUGUGAACCACUUUUGGGAAUCAGAUGUGUACAUUCCAAAGUAAAAUGACUUCAGUGUAUAUAUACAAGGAUGAUAAAUGUCCUGCUGAGAACAGCGGCAAAACAACAAGAAGAACCACCGUAAAGCUCCUGCACAUACUUAUAUACUGAAUAGGACCAUGAAAAAGUGCUUAAGCUCAAACAGGUAGGUAUUAUUUUUUUCAUGCCUUGUAAAAGUAGAUUAGUCAUAUGAGAAAACUUGAAAUAAUUUGCUGUAAUAUUUUAGAUUGUUUGCAAUUUAAAAUUUUUCAGGUAUCCCUGCUUUUCUCCUUUAUGCUGGAUAACUAAAAGUACCUAUCAAUUCACCUGAUUGUAUUUUUCAUUUUAUUUUUUCCUCAGAGGCCUGAUUUCCUUAUAGUUUUUGACCUAUUGAGGUAAUUUGCAUGCUCUUUAGCCAUUGUCUGAGAAACUUGUGCCCAGACAAAUCUUUGUUUUCCUUUUAGGCUCUAUUUAAUAAAGAUUAUGAAGAGGCUUACAGUAGCACUAUUAUUUGAGAUUUCAUUAUGGCUGUUAAUGGUAUUUGAGUACCAGUUUUUUUUCACAUGGUCAUUGAUAAUUGGGGUUUUAGCUAUUUUAUAUUGACAAUCGGAGAUUUUUGAAAAUGGUGCCACCUUGAAGUCUAAUUAAUUAGAGAAUGCUAUAACCAUUGUUAAUGCACAACUCAUUUUUAGUUUAAUUUAAAAUUUGGAGCAUUUCUUUGCUUCCUCAAAUAAUUGUGCUUAUAGUCAGAAGCAUAAUAAGUAGAAAAUAGAUUAACUAUGAAGAAAACUGUAAAUCUCUUCUCAUCACUGUUUGUAUUAUGAACAGUAUAAAAGAAUCAGAUGAGGAAGGGACAUAUUUUUAUGGCAUGGGUCUUGCUGUACAUAGCCUUUACCUGAGCUAGUUUCUUUGGGAUUGGUAUAUAUAAUGUUGCAAGUCUCAAGGCCAAUGCUAAGUGCAGGGAGGGCAAUCCAAGAGGCUGCAAUCCCCAUUUAUCUUACUCUGGGCACUAAAGCUAUUUCUUCCCAUCCAGAUUUUCUUCCAGGAAGCAAUGCCCAGUUGAAAUGGUAAGAUGGUGUGAACAUGGAUCUUUCUAAGGAUCAAAAUGGGAUCUGUUAAAUAUGUAUGUUUAUGGGGUCUGUUAAUAUGUAUUAAGCAUUUCAUAGGUGUUAAGUCUUCAUCAAGACUUAACAAACAAAGUAGAAGAAACAAACACAUAAAGAGGUCCUUAUAUCAUGUGAUAGAUGCCAUGAUAGAGGCAUCGGUUCAGGGUGAUGAGGUAGCACAGAGUGAAGACAUAAAUCAGCCUGGGAAAAUCAAGGAACGCCUCCUGGAGAAGACAAACUGUAAUUUGUCUUUAAAGCUGCUUACUAGCCAGAUGCAAAGUUAGAGGAAGGCAAGUAAGGCAGAGAAAACACACUAUCAAGGAAUGGAAACUAAAAUAAUAAAAACUACAACGAUCUUUACAUUUAUUUUAGGUACUAUUUUAGGUGAUGCAUGAAACCAUUUCAUGUGUCCCACAAACAUAUGAGGCAGCUAUUACUAUCCCAGUUUUAUGUAUGAAGAAAUUGAAGCACAGAAUGUUUAAGUGAAUUACCUAAGGUCACAUAGACAGUAAAUUAUAGAGGACAGAUUUGGAACCCUGCUGUCUGACUCCAGAGUCCAUAUCCUUAACCACCAUACGAUACAGCCCCGUGCUGUGGUUUACUGAUGGGUGUAGUGAACAACAAGUGAGUUGAAAUUACUGGAUAAAAUUCUAGCUUGGAGAAGGCAGAAGGCACAGUUGCAGAGACUGACAAGUGGCAGAUACUGACUUUGUAUGUCAUGCUAAGACGGUUAGAAUAAGACUUCUCAACUAUGUAUAGUGAGGGGACAAUUUACUUUAUUAUUAUCUUUUAAUUUCAAAUAUGAUGUGGAUGGAUAUGUUUAUAAAAUAUAAAAUUACAUACAUGGAUAUCAAGGCAAUUUCAAAUUGCUAGAAAGGAUUCUAAAUGCUUACUUCAUUUCUGUGCUUUGCUAAUCAUUGAUUUAUAACAAACAAUUUUGGGCUAGCGCUUUGAGUAGUAUUGAUUUAUAUUUUUUACUUUGUACCUUGUGGUGUAAUUAAGGUAUAACCAUUCAGAUGGGCAGGUUAGCAUUUUAAGUAUUGAUUUCUUUGUGGAAAAUGAACUAGAGGCUAAGACUGAUUACAGUGAGCCCAAUUAUGAAUCAAUGAUUGUAGUGUCUGCCAAAUAUAACUGGAGCCUAAACUGAGGCUGUGGAGUAGCAAUGAAAAGUGAGAGGUAAAUGGUUUUGAGAAAUCCUUGAGAGCUAUAUCUGGCCUGGGUCCAUGGACAAGAUUCCCUUAUCUUCAACUUCCACUAAAACAGCUCUUUGUGAUUCUUUACUCUGUUUUCCUCUUAAAUUUAAUAUUUUAAAAUGUCUAUCUCAAAAGCUACCAUCUAUGUAUUUCUUAAAUCAAAACCGUAUUUUUCCUUCAAAAUGUAUUAAACAUUUUGUUUAAGCGAAGUUCCUUUUAGGCCCUGGGUUUAAGUGGGAAGAAGGCUGGUGAGGCUGAGGAGUGCAGGAUGAUCUGCAGGGCUAGAAGUGAAGUGUCGUUUCUUUCUUAAACAAGUAUCUUGUGUGGAAACAUGCAGCAAAGCCAAGAGUUAAUGGUUUAAGGAAUGAGCCUUGAGGGAACAGGGGCCAAGGGAAAAUUUUCACUUUGUCCUUCUGAAGGUUUACUGAGAAAUGAACUCAUAAAUGUCAGAUUAACUGGAGAAAAAGCAUUCAAAAUUUAUUAAUGUGUAAACAGGAUCCUUUGGAAUGAAGACCCAAAGAUAUAGAAAAAAUUGUCCAUUUUUAUGCUUAGGUUCAAGAAAGUAUGGAUAGCUGCAUAGAAAUAUGUUUGGAAAAAUAGGGUAUUAUCUAAUGUUAAUAGAUGGAGUAGAGCAAUAUAGCAAGGCCUCUUGGUCUAGAUUUGUCUUGGUUUUUCAGAGCAUGUGUUUCUUCCUUCUGGAUAUGGGACAGGACCCUCUCUGGAAAGGGGGUCAGAUAAUUUUUUAUUGCCAG
rnacentral:lncRNA from 1 species